rnacentral:rRNA from 1 species
UGGGGAAUAUUGGACAAUGGGCGCAAGCCUGAUCCAGCCAUGCCGCGUGAGUGAUGAAGGCCCUAGGGUUGUAAAGCUCUUUCACCGGUGAAGAUAAUGACGGUAACCGGAGAAGAAGCCCCGGCUAACUUCGUGCCAGCAGCCGCGGUAAUACGAAGGGGGCUAGCGUUGUUCGGAUUUACUGGGCGUAAAGCGCACGUAGGCGGACUUUUAAGUCAGGGGUGAAAUCCCGGGGCUCAACCCCGGAACUGCCUUUGAUACUGGAAGUCUUGAGUAUGGUAGAGGUGAGUGAAAUUCCGAGUGUAGGGGGGAAAUUGGUGGAUAUUCGGAGGAACGCCAGUGGGGAAGGCGGCUCACUGGACCAUUACUGACGCUGGGGUGCGAAAGCGUGGGGAGCAAACAGG